rnacentral:rRNA from 1 species
GACGAACGCUGGCGGCAUGCCUAACACAUGCAAGUCGAACGAGAACUUCGGGCCGUGGCUUGCUCGGGUGUGUAACGUGAGGGAAGCUGCGCUGAGGAUCGGGAUGACUCCCUGAAAGGGGUGCUGAUAUCGGAUAAUGUCUCCAGAGCUAAGAUUUAUUACCUUUGAUUGGUGCCGCGUUGGAUUAGGUAGUUGGUUGUUUAAAAGCUUACCAAGGCGACGAUCCUUUACUGGUUUGUGGGGAUGGUCAGGGACACUGUGACUGAGAGACGGACCAGACUCCUACGGGAGGACGCAGGGGGGAAUAUUGGACAACGGGCGAGAGCAUGAGCCAGCAAUGUCGCGUGAGUGAUGAAGGACUUAGGGUUGUAAAGCUCUUUUAACCGUGCUGAUAAUGACGGUACCGGGAGAAUAAGCGCCGGCUAACUACGUG